UACAGAGGUCUCAAGCGUUGUUCGGAUUCAUUGGGCGUAAAGGGUGCGUAGGUGGCGCUGUAAGUCGGGUGUGAAAUUUCGGAGCUUAACUCCGAAACUGCAUUCGAUACUGCGGUGCUUGAGGACUGGAGAGGAGACUGGAAUUCAUGGUGUAGCAGUGAAAUGCGUAGAGAUCAUGAGGAAGACCAGUGGCGAAGGCGGGUCUCUGGACGACUCCUGACACUGAGGCACGAAAGCUAGGGGAGCAAACAGG
rnacentral:rRNA from 1 species